rnacentral:rRNA from 1 species
GUUGGGUAGGGGAGCGUUCUGUAAGCCGUUGAAGGUGUCCUGUGAGGGGUGCUGGAGGUAUCAGAAGUGCGAAUGCUGACAUAAGUAACGAUAAAGCGGGUGAAAAGCCCGCUCGCCGGAAGACCAAGGGUUCCUGUCCAACGUUAAUCGGGGCAGGGUGAGUCGACCCCUAAGGCGAGGCCGAAAGGCGUAGUCGAUGGGAAACGGGUUAAUAUUCCCGUACUUGGUGUUACUGCGAAGGGGGGACGGAGAAGGCUAUGUUGGCCGGGCGACGGUUGUCCCGGUUUAAGCGUGUAGGUGUGUGUUCCAGGUAAAUCCGGUUCACUUUAACACUGAGGCGUGAUGACGAGGCACCACGGUGCUGAAGCAACAAAUGCCCUGCUUCCAGGAAAAGCCUCUAAGCAUCAGGUAACAUCAAAUCGUACCCCAAACCGACACAGGUGGUCAGGUAGAGAAUACCAAGGCGCUUGAGAGAACUCGGGUGAAGGAACUAGGCAAAAUGGUGCCGUAACUUCGGGAGAAGGCACGCUGACACGUAGGUGAAGUGAUUUACUCAUGGAGCUGAAGUCAGUCGAAGAUACCAGCUGGCUGCAACUGUUUAUUAAAAACACAGCACUGUGCAAACACGAAAGUGGACGUAUACGGUGUGACGCCUGCCCGGUGCCGGAAGGUUAAUUGAUGGGGUCAGCGCAAGCGAAGCUCCUGAUCGAAGCCCCGGUAAACGGCGGCCGUAACUAUAACGGUCCUAAGGUAGCGAAAUUCCUUGUCGGGUAAGUUCCGACCUGCACGAAUGGCGUAAUGAUGGCCAGGCUGUCUCCACCCGAGACUCAGUGAAAUUGAACUCGCUGUGAAGAUGCAGUGUACCCGCGGCAAGACGGAAAGACCCCGUGAACCUUUACUAUAGCUUGACACUGAACAUUGAGCCUUGAUGUGUAGGAUAGGUGGGAGGCUUUGAAGCGUGGACGCCAGUCUGCGUGGAGCCGACCUUGAAAUACCACCCUUUAAUGUUUGAUGUUCUAACGUGGACCCGUAAUCCGGGUUGCGGACAGUGUCUGGUGGGUAGUUUGACUGGGGCGGUCUCCUCCUAAAGAGUAACGGAGGAGCACGAAGGUUGGCUAAUCCUGGUCGGACAUCAGGAGGUUAGUGCAAUGGCAUAAGCCAGCUUGACUGCGAGCGUGACGGCGCGAGCAGGUGCGAAAGCAGGUCAUAGUGAUCCGGUGGUUCUGAAUGGAAGGGCCAUCGCUCAACGGAUAAAAGGUACUCCGGGGAUAACAGGCUGAUACCGCCCAAGAGUUCAUAUCGACGGCGGUGUUUGGCACCUCGAUGUCGGCUCAUCACAUCCUGGGGCUGAAGUAGGUCCCAAGGGUAUGGCUGUUCGCCAUUUAAAGUGGUACGCGAGCUGGGUUUAGAACGUCGUGAGACAGUUCGGUCCCUAUCUGCCGUGGGCGCUGGAAGACUGAGGGGGGCUGCUCCUAGUACGAGAGGACCGGAGUGGACGCAUCACUGGUGUUCGGGUUGUCAUGCCAAUGGCACUGCCCGGUAGCUAAAUGCGGAAAAGAUAAGUGCUGAAAGCAUCUAAGCACGAAACUUGCCCCGAGAUGAGUCUUCCCUGAGACCUUGAGUCUCCUGAAGGAACGUUAAAGACGAUGACGUUGAUAGGCCGGGUGUGUAAGCGCAGCGAUGCGUUGAGCUAACCGGUACUAAUGAACCGUGAGGCUUAACCUUACAACGCCGAAG